UCACAGUAGGGACAGGGGCCUUUGACCGUAGUAGAAUUCGGAGGACUCAGAGAGAUACUGCAAGAGUCGGGAGAAGAGAAGCAUCCUCUGCUCCCCAGUGGCAUCUCUCUCCCUCCACUCCCUCACAUCUGCAUGCCCAGCCCUGCCGGGUUCUCCUACUCAGAGCAAACAAAGAGACUGCUUGUUACAGAGUCAGCCUCAUGUCCCCAUCCCAGGAGGAAGAGAAGGCCUUAGGAGAGGACGCUGCGAAACCCAGGUGCUCCAAGGCACCGAGAUGGGAGACCAAGGGGCUCCUGGGGGCUCUGGCCUCUCGCCCGCCGAGGAGCAAGCUCUGCAUUUCCGGGCAGCACGCCUCUGGGCUCUGCCUCUGUGGGUGCAGUUUGAGGACAAGGGCCGUGCUGCACCCCCGGCCCCCUCCACUCACACGCUCUGCCUCCCAGGUGCUCCCCAGCUUGCCAUCGGGCAGGAAGCAGCCCUCUCCUCUGGUGGUUGUCUUUAGGGCUCAGCUUCCCCAUGGCUUCCCAAACCCCAAGGCCAAGGCCAAGUCUCAGCUGCCGUCUGGGGGCGGGCCAAGGGCCACCUGCAUCACUGCGCCGCCGCGCAGGUUGGUGCCCAUGGGCGUGUGGCCCAAGGCAUUUAUCGACCCUUUCUCCAAGGCCUUGCCCAGGGAGUUUCUGCACAGUUGUAUCCACACCAAAGGGAGCCGCACCCCGAGCCAGGGAGUCGCGUCCCCAGUGACAACACUUGCCGGAGGUGACAAGUCCUCUCCACCACACUUAUUUAAAUGAAAAUGUAUUUAGUCAA